UUAAGUUCAGCGGGUAUCCCUACCUGAUCCGAGGUCAAAUUCAUGGGGGUAGCUUCUGGGAGCCGAUCCGCCGGUCUCGAGUUCGCGUUUCUGCUGCGCUCGAAGCCAACGUGCCGGCCGCCAAUAGAUUUGAGGCGAGUUCACGCGUGUAGCGGAACAAAACGCCCAACACCCAGCAGGGCUGGAGGGUACAAAUGACG
rnacentral:misc_RNA from 1 species